GGGCGGUGCUAUACAUGCAAGUCGAACGCGUUGGCCCAAUUGAUUGAUGGUGCUUGCACCUGAUUGAUUUUGGUCGCCAACGAGUGGCGGACGGGUGAGUAACACGUAGGUAACCUGCCCAGAAGCGGGGGACAACAUUUGGAAACAGAUGCUAAUACCGCAUAACACGUUGUUCGCAUGAACAACGCUUAAAAGAUGGCUUCUCGCUAUCACUUCUGGAUGGACCUGCGGUGCAUUAGCUUGUUGGUGGGGUAACGGCCUACCAAGGCGAUGAUGCAUAGCCGAGUUGAGAGACUGAUCGGCCACAAUGGGACUGAGACACGGCCCAUACUCCUACGGGAGGCAGCAGUAGGGAAUCUUCCACAAUGGGCGCAAGCCUGAUGGAGCAACACCGCGUGAGUGAAGAAGGGUUUGGCUCGUAAAGCUCUGUUGUUAAAGAAGAACACGUAUGAGAGUAACUGUUCAUACGUUGACGGUAUUUAACCAGAAAGUCACGGCUAACUACGUGCCAGCAGCCGCGGUAAUACGUAGGUGGCAAGCGUUAUCCGGAUUUAUUGGGCGUAAAGAGAGUGCAGGCGGUUUUCUAAGUCUGAUGUGAAAGCCUUCGGCUUAACCGGAGAAGUGCAUCGGAAACUGGAUAACUUGAGUGCAGAAGAGGGUAGUGGAACUCCAUGUGUAGCGGUGGAAUGCGUAGAUAUAUGGAAGAACACCAGUGGCGAAGGCGGCUACCUGGUCUGCAACUGACGCUGAGACUCGAAAGCAUGGGUAGCGAACAGGAUUAGAUACCCUGGUAGUCCAUGCCGUAAACGAUGAGUGCUAGGUGUUGGAGGGUUUCCGCCCUUCAGUGCCGGAGCUAACGCAUUAAGCACUCCGCCUGGGGAGUACGACCGCAAGGUUGAAACUCAAAGGAAUUGACGGGGCCCGCACAAGCGGUGGAGCAUGUGGUUUAAUUCGAAGCUACGCGAGACCUUACCAGGUCUUGACAUCUUGCGCAACCCUAGAGAUAGGGCGUUCCUUCGGGAACGCAAUGACAGUGGCAUGGUCGUCGUCCUCGUGUCGUGAUGUGGUAGUCCGCAACGAGCGCAACCUGGUACUAGUGCAGCAUAAGUGGCCUCUAGUGAGACUGCGGACAACGGAGAGGUGGGACGACGUCGAUCAUCAUGCCCUUGACUGGCUCGGUCUACAUGAACGGUAACGAGUCGCGACUCCCGAGGGCAAGCUAU
rnacentral:rRNA from 1 species